rnacentral:rRNA from 1 species
CACGCCGUAAACGAUGGAUACUAGCUGUUGGGAGUGAUCUCAGUGGCUAAGCGAAAGUGAUAAGUAUCCCACCUGGGGAGUACGUUCGCAAGAAUGAAACUCAAAGGAAUUGACGGGGGCCCGCACAAGCGGUGGAGCAUGUGGUUUAAUUCGAUGAUACGCGAGGAACCUUACCAAGGCUUAAAUGUAGAUUGACCGAUUAGGAAACUAGUCUUUCGCAAGACAAAUUACAAGGUGC